CCUACGGGGGGCUGCAGUGGGGAAUAUUGGACAAUGGGCGAAAGCCUGAUCCAGCCAUGCCGCGUGUGUGAAGAAGGCCUUCGGGUUGUAAAGCACUUUCAGUGGGGAAGAAAGCCUUGGGGCUAAUACCCUCGAGGAAGGACAUCACCCACAGAAGAAGCACCGGCUAACUCCGUGCCAGCAGCCGCGGUAAUACGGAGGGUGCGAGCGUGAAUCGGAAUUACUGGGCGUAAAGCGCGCGUAGGCGGUCUGAUAAGCCGGUUGUGAAAGCCCCGGGCUCAACCUGGGAACGGCAUCCGGAACUGUCAGGCUAGAGUGCAGGGGAGGAAGGUAGAAUUCCCGGUGUAGCGGUGAAAUGCGUAGAGAUCGGGAGGAAUACCAGUGGCGAAGGCGGCCUUCUGGACUGACACUGACGCUGAGGUGCGAAAGCGUGGGUAGCAAACAGGAUUAGAUACCCCAUAGUC
rnacentral:rRNA from 1 species